GAGCGAACAGACGAGGAGCUUGCUCCUCUGACGUUAGCGGCGGACGGGUGAGUAACACGUGGAUAACCUACCUAUAAGACUGGGAUAACUUCGGGAAACCGGAGCUAAUACCGGAUAAUAUAUUGAACCGCAUGGUUCAAUAGUGAAAGACGGUUUUGCUGUCACUUAUAGAUGGAUCCGCGUCGCAUUAGCUAGUUGGUAAGGUAACGGCUUACCAAGGCAACGAUGCGUAGCCGACCUGAGAGGGUGAUCGGCCACACUGGAACUGAGACACGGUCCAGACUCCUACGGGAGGCAGCAGUAGGGAAUCUUCCGCAAUGGGCGAAAGCCUGACGGAGCAACGCCGCGUGAGUGAUGAAGGUCUUCGGAUCGUAAAACUCUGUUAUUAGGGAAGAACAAAUGUGUAAGUAACUAUGCACGUCUUGACGGUACCUAAUCAGAAAGCCACGGCUAACUACGUGCCAGCAGCCGCGGUAAUACGUAGGUGGCAAGCGUUAUCCGGAAUUAUUGGGCGUAAAGCGCGCGUAGGCGGUUUUUUAAGUCUGAUGUGAAAGCCCACGGCUCAACCGUGGAGGGUCAUUGGAAACUGGAAAACUUGAGUGCAGAAGAGGAAAGUGGAAUUCCAUGUGUAGCGGUGAAAUGCGCAGAGAUAUGGAGGAACACCAGUGGCGAAGGCGACUUUCUGGUCUGUAACUGACGCUGAUGUGCGAAAGCGUGGGGAUCAAACAGGAUUA
rnacentral:rRNA from 1 species